UAAAUAACAGCUCACUGCAGGAACAACCUCAGCAUUCAGGUCUUGUAUUUCAGAGCCUGCACAGUUUUGCUCAUUUAGAUUCAAAACACCCAAAAAAAAAGCCCAACUCCUCUCCUGGAUGGAAGAUUACAUCUUUAUGCAGGAAAGCUUAGGUGGAAGUUUAGAUGAGUCUGUCAAGGAAGGACAAGGAUCCAAGUGUCAACCCCACUGCAAGUCAGCAUUUGUCUCUGCUACUAAGUCAACCUGUCUGUUAAACUCCAUCAGAGCCCCAGGACACCUACUGAAAGGAAAGUCUGGAAAAAGGUAUAGAUCCUUCAGCAGUCAAUGGCAAUCCCAUCCCAUUCCAGGCAGC
rnacentral:lncRNA from 12 species